rnacentral:rRNA from 1 species
UACGUAGGGUGCAAGCGUUGUCCGGAAUUAUUGGGCGUAAAGCGCGCGUAGGCGGCUUUGCAAGUCGGGUGUGAAAGCCCUCAGCUCAACUGAGGAAGUGCGCCCGAAACUGCAGAGCUUGAGUGCCGGAGAGGGUGGUGGAAUUCCCCAAGUAGAGGUGAAAUUCGUAGAGAUGGGGAGGAACACCGGUGGCGAAGGCGACCACCUGGACGGUAACUGACGCUGAGGCGCGAAAGCGUGGGUAGCAAACAGG